AUGGAGAUGGAUAGAAAACGUGGAGUGGAUCACAGCCUACUUCGGCCAAUACAGAGAUUUACUACUUCAUCCAACUUUAAAAUUGAACUGUUUAAUGCGCAAUCGCUCACUAACAAAUCCGGCUUUAUACAUGAUAACAUUCGUGACAAAAGUUUGGAUAUAAUGUGCCUCACAGAAACCUGGCAGAAACCAGGUGUUUUUUCUGUUUUAAAUGAGACUUGCCCUCCUAGCUACUGUUAUCUUCAUAAAGCUCGUAGCUCCGGCCGUGGUGGUGGCUUGGCUGUCAUCUACCGCAGUCACUUGGAUUUGUCCCUUUUGGACAUCCCCGAGCUGUCUUCUUUUGAAUGUCUGGCAUUUAAUUGUAAGCCUCCAUUUCCUAUGACAGUACUAUUAAUUUACCGGCCACCCAAAUCAACCUCAAACUUCAUUUCAGAGUUGUACAAUUUUCUUUCAACUAUCUGUGCAACCUCCUCCAAUAUAAUAAUACUUGGGGAUUUUAACAUUCAUGUUAACAAUCCUACUUGUCAUCUUGCUACAGAAUUUUUGCAAUUACUGGACUGCUUAAAUCUCAGACAAUAUGUUGAUGUCCCCACUCACAUCAAGGGGAAUAUUCUCGAUUUGGUCAUUACUGAGUCAGCCCUUUUAAGCGCACCAUUUGUAUAUGAUCUGGGUGUAUCUGACCAUAAGGUCAUCUCCAUGGAGCUGUCCUUUCCGUAUUCCUACAUGAAGCCUAAACGUGAAAUACGUUUUAGAAAUCUGAAAAAGAUUAACACAGAAAACAUGACCUUAAGCCUUCAACAUCUCCUUUCUUCAAAUAUUUCAUCAGUCACUGAAUCUGUGGAAUUUUAUAAUCAGACAUUGAGCCGCAUUUUGGAUUUCCAUGCACCCGUCAAAGUUAGGACAAUUACGUUUUCCCGUUCAGCUCCCUGGUUCACAAGUGACCUGCGAAAAAUGAAGGCAGCUGGACGUGCCCUUGAACGGCGGUACAACUCUUCUGAACUAACUGUUCAUUAG
ensembl:lncRNA